GGAGGAAAAGAAACUAACAAGGAUUCCCCUAGUAACGGCGAGUGAAGCGGGAUGAGCUCAAAUUUGUAAUCUGGCGGCCUCUGGCCGUCCGAGUUGUAGUCUGGAGAAGCGUUUUCCGCGUCGGACCGUGUACAAGUCCUUUGGAACAGGGCGUCGUAGAGGGUGAGAAUCCCGUCUUUGACACGGACUGCCGAUGCUGUGCGAUGCGCUCUCGAAGAGUCGAGUUGUUUGGGAAUGCAGCUCAAAACGGGUGGUAAAUUCCAUCUAAAGCUAAAUAUUGGCGAAAGACCGAUAGCGAACAAGUACCGUGAGGGAAAGAUGAAAAGCACUUUGAAAAGAGAGUUAAACAGUACGUGAAAUUGUUGAAAGGGAAACGCUUGAAGUCAGUCGCGUCCCUCGGGAUUCAGCCUUGCCUUUUGGCUCGGUGUACUUCCCGGGGCGACGGGCCAGCGUCGAUUUCGAUCGUCGGAGAAAGGCCUUGGGAAUGUGGCACCUUUGGGUGUGUUAUAGCCCUCGGUCGUAUGCGACGGUCGGGAUCGAGGACCGCAGCACGCCUUCACCGGCCGGGGUUCGCCCACGUAACGUGCUUAGGAUGCUGGCGUAAUGGCUUUAAGCGACCCGUCUUGAAACACGGACCAAGGAGUCUAACAUGCCUGCGAGUGUUUGGGUGGAAAACCCGGACGCGUAAUGAAAGUGAAAGGUCGGGACCUCUGUCGUGGAGGGCACCGACGCCCGGACCAGAGCUUCUGUGACGGUUCCGAGGCAGAGCACGCAUGCUGGGACCCGAAAGAUGGUGAACUAUGCCUGAGUAGGGUGAAGCCAGAGGAAACUCUGGUGGAGGCUCGUAGCGAUUCUGACGUGCAAAUCGAUCGUCGAACUUGGGUAUAGGGGCGAAAGACUAAUC
rnacentral:rRNA from 1 species